UACGUAGGGGGCAAGCGUUGUCCGGAAUUAUUGGGCGUAAAGAGCGUGUAGGCGGUCCGGUAAGUCGGCUGUGAAAGUCCAGGGCUCAACCCUGGGAUGCCGGUCGAUACUGCCCGGACUAGAGUUCGGAAGAGGCGAGUGGAAUUCCCGGUGUAGCGGUGAAAUGCGCAGAUAUCGGGAGGAACACCUAUGGCGAAGGCAGCUCGCUGGGACGUUACUGACGCUGAGACGCGAAAGCGUGGGGAGCGAACCGG
rnacentral:rRNA from 1 species